AAUUGAUUAGUCUAAAAGACAUUUGUUUUGAAAACAAAAAAUGAUAAAUAAAUUUAUCAUCAAUUU
rnacentral:tRNA from 1 species